rnacentral:rRNA from 1 species
CACAAACAUUUCUACCCUUGAAUUUGAGCACCUUCGUUUCCUCGGCGGGUCCGCCCGCCAGCAGAGGACCCCAUUGAACUCUUUGUAGUAGCAGUAUUUGUCUGAAAUAUAAAGGAAUAAUCAAAACUUUCAACAAUGGAUCUCUUGGUUCUGGCAUCGAUGAAGAACGCAGCGAAAUGCGAUAAGUAGUGUGAAUUGCAGAAUUCAGUGAAUCAUCGAAUCUUUGAACGCACAUUGCGCCCCUCGGUAUUCCGUGGGGCAUGCCUGUUCGAGCGUCAUUUAAACCCUCAAGCACAGCUUGGUGUUGGGUGCUUGUCCCGCCUCUGCGCGGCGACUCACCUCAAAGUCAUUGGCAGCCCGCAUCCGCCGGCCGUGAGCGCAGCACAGUCGCGCCCUAGGUCCCGGCAGGUCGGCUCUCCAGAAGCACUUCUUCCACCAUUGACCUCGGAUCAGGUAGGGAUACCCGC